rnacentral:rRNA from 1 species
AACGAACGCUGGCGGCAGGCUUAACACAUGCAAGUCGAGCGCCCCGCAAGGGGAGCGGCAGACGGGUGAGUAACGCGUGGGAAUCUACCCAUCUCUACGGAAUAACGCAUGGAAACGUGUGCUAAUACCGUAUACGUCCUUCGGGAGAAAGAUUUAUCGGAGAUGGAUGAGCCCGCGUUGGAUUAGCUAGUUGGUGGGGUAAAGGCCUACCAAGGCGACGAUCCAUAGCUGGUCUGAGAGGAUGAUCAGCCACACUGGGACUGAGACACGGCCCAGACUCCUACGGGAGGCAGCAGUGGGGAAUAUUGGGCAAUGGGCGCAAGUCUGACCCAGCCAUGCCGCGUGAGUGAUGAAGGCCCUAGGGUUGUAAAGCUCUUUCACCGGUGAAGAUAAUGACGGUAACCGGAGAAGAAGCCCCGGCUAACUUCGUGCCAGCAGCCGCAGUAACAC